rnacentral:tRNA from 1 species
GGGGUCAUAGCUCAGUUGGUUAGAGCGCCUGCCUGUCACGCAGGAGGUCGCGAGUUCGAGUCUCGUUGACCCCG